CUUCUUCCUGCGUUUUCAUUUGCUAAGACCGACCAACGCGGGUCCUUCAAGGAGCUGUGUCAACUUGUCAUGGCCUGUUUGUAAAACUUUUAAACUUGAAUGAUGCAACAAGAAUGUCUUCAGAUGAUAUGUCCCGAGUUCUCGACACACUACGUUCUCUUUAUGGCCAUUUAAAGACAUUGGAGGAGUUUACGGACGGAGUUGUGUUCCGAGAUGGACAGAGAGCAGUUCUCGUACAACAGACGGACACAAACCGCUUCAAAACGUUCGUACGGAACGUUUUUGUUUGCUACGACAAGGAGCUACAGCAAGUGCCAAGCAGACACCAGAUCUGCACAUUAUCGGAGCUACUGGCCUUCGUUCUCAACAGCCUGAAAAGAAAGAAGAAACGAAACAUCUUAGCACACGGCUAUAAUCCGCGGAGUGUGGCUCAGGAGCAGCGUGACGCUGACCACUUCAAAUUCCAAGGGGAUGUCAGUCAAAGUGCCGCCUACAUCCACGGCAGCGACCUGUGGAACAAAGCAACCGUGCGCCUCGGCACUGACCUCACACGCUACCUGCUGGAGAGCUGCUCUGUGUUCAUGGCGGUCCCUCCUUCGUGUGCCUUCCAGGUGUGCGGUGCUCCUGUUUAUGACCGGGUCUCCAUGACGACAGUUCCCUCUGUGUUUUCCCUCCAGGCUCGAUCCAGAACUCAUCGUAAUACUGUGGCUGUGAAAAGGAAACGUGAUGCCAGGAGUAAGAAAAAAAAGCGCAGAAGGUCGGUGAUGAUGCGGAGCAGGAAAAGGAGGAGAGAGGAAGAAGAGAUGUCUGUUUCUCGAAAGAGGAGACGGGAGGGAGAGCAUGAAGCCACACAAACGGCAGCAAAAGUGUCCUUGAAGCCUAUGGAAAGCAGCUCUGAACAAGAAGCUGAAACAAGCACAACUCCUUUAGAAGGAGGUCCUAGUUGGAGGUCAGGGACUUUCCCCCCCUUGCCUCCCACGCAGUGCUUUAUACGCACCCUUGCGUUGCUCUAUGGCGGCAGGGGCAUGCGUAGUUUUCUUCUCAACAGGAAGAAAAAGGGAUUUGGAAGACUGCAAGGUCAGGAUUUGGUAAGAGUAGUCUUCUUUGAGGGACUGGCGUACCUCAGUGGGUUCAGGAGAAAACCAAAGAAGCUCCCCCAGCGCUUCUUUAACAUGAUCCCCCUUUUUAGCCAACUGUUGCGUCAACACAGGAGGUGUCCCUACCGCCGGAUACUGCAGAGGAUGUGCCCUCUAGUGGAGAGAGAUGUAGCAAAAGAGGAGUUAAGCUCACUUUUGCCCCAACAUUGUGCACCUCACCGGGUGUACCUGUUUGUAAGGGAGUGCCUGUGUGCUGUUGUCCCAUUGGAGUUUUGGGGUUCAGAGGAAAACCGGUGCCAUUUUUUGGCACGUGUUCGAGGCUUCUUGCGCAGCAGCAAGUUUGACAAAGUUUCACUUGCUGAGCUGAUGUGGAAAAUAAAGGUGAAUGACUGUGAUUGGUUGAAGAUCAGCAAGAAAGGUGAGACUGCGCUUAAAACACCGGGGAAACCCCUCUUUAUUUUUUUGACUCCCCCCCUGCUUUGGCUGUUUGCAGGUGGGAUCCCGCCCAGUGAGCUCGCGUAUCGGACUCGGGUACUCGGUCAGCUGCUCGCUUGGCUUCUAGAUGGCUACGUGGUUAGCCUGGUACGAGCAUGUUUCUACGUCACAGAGGGUGUAGCUCAAAAGAACGCCCUGAGGUUCUACAGGCAAGAGGUUUGGGCCAAGCUGCAGGACCUGGCCUUCAGAGGUCAUGUCUCUAAGGGGCAGAUGAAGGAGUUAACUCCGACUCAGGUGGAAUCACUGCCUAAAAGCACUGUCGUCUCCCAUGUGCGCUUUAUCCCAAAGACUGAUAGCAUGAGGCCCAUCACUCGAGUUUUGGGAGCAGACGCCAAGACCAGGCUCUUACGAGGGAAUGUGCGUGAUUUGAGAGAUAUACUGCGGGUUUGUGUGCGGGCCAAUCCAUCCCUGCUGGGAUCCACAGUGUGGGGGAUGACUGACAUCCAUAAGGUUUUAUCCACUCUUGCGCCAACCCAGAAAGAGAAGCCACAGCCCCUCUUCUUUGCUAAGGUGGAUGUCAGCGGAGCGUUUGACAGUCUGCCUCAUGACAAACUUCUCAAUGUGAUUAGCCAUGCACUAUCACCUGUCCAAGACGAGCCCUUUAACAUACGCAGCUAUGCCAAGAUCUGGAUGGACUCCCACGAGGGCCUGAGGAAGUCCUUUGUGAGACAGGCUGACUUCCUAGAUGAUGCCAGGGGCUCUGCCAACAUGAAGAGCUUUGUGACAGCGCUGCAAAGAAGCGGCGGAGCUCAUCAUGCCAUAUUGGUGGAGCAGCACCUGUCCACAGAUGUUAAUGGAAAAGAGGUGUUUGAGUUCUUCACCCAAAUGUUGACAGGCAGCAUUUUACAGUUUGGGAAGAAAACAUACCGUCUGUGUCGCGGGAUUCCUCAGGGGUCCGUUGUGUCCGGUUUGCUCUGCUGUCUGUGCUACGGUCACAUGGAGAACGCUCUGUUCAAAGGCAUGAUCGGAAGCAAAGGACGAUUGAUGAGGCUGGUGGAUGACUUCCUUCUGAUCACGCCUGACCUCCACGAGGCACAGAACUUUAUCAAAGUCUUGCUCACCGGCGUCCCCCAGUAUGGCCUGGUCAGCAACCGGCAGAAGGUGGUGGUCAACUUUCCACUGUGGGAUGACAUGGUUUCCUGCGCCGGCAUCCGCACGCUACCCGCCCACUGCCUCUUCCCCUGGUGCGGCUUGCUGCUGGACACGCACUCACUCGACGUCCAUAAAGAUUAUUCCAGCUACGCAGGCCUAUCUCUGCGUUACAGCCUCACCCUGGGAUCUUUCCACUCAGCCGGAGAGCAAAUGAGGAGAAAGCUGAUGGUGAUCCUCAGACUCAAGUGCCAAGCCCUCUUCUUGGACCUGAAGACAAAUUCCCUGGCGGUGGUCUACAAGAACAUCUACAAGUUGGUGCUGCUACAUGCAUUCAGAUUCCAUGUGUGUGCACAGAGUUUACCCUUUGGCCAAACGGUUGCUAAGAACCCCGUCUACUUCCUGCAGAUGAUAUGGAGAAUGGCCCACUACACCAAUCAGCUCCUCAGGCGUAGCAACAAAGGCUGCAAGGCCCAAACUGGCAUUGUGCCGUACGAGGCAGUGGAGUUGCUUUUCUGCUUUUCCUUCUUGCUGGUGUUGUCGCAGCAUCGCCCCAUCUACAAGGAGAUGCUGCCCCAGCUGCAGAAGCGGAAGCGUAGUCUGGAGCGCCGUCUGGGGGAUUUGAGGCUUGCCCAAUUGAGACAAGCCGCCAGCCCAAGGACCCCUGUGGAGUUUUUGGCCAUCACAAUGUAAGAGUGUCAGCUCACCUAAAUAGAAAAUGACCCUCAGCAGCUUAAAGAUCAUCAACCAGGCGCAGGCCAGGCAGACCACCAGCCACCACUGCAGAGAACCACUGGUCUCGAUGUCAGUUGUGAUGUUCAGCGUCUGACGGUACCAGAAGUAAUUGACUGGAGUGCUCUUCUCACAUUCUGCAUCAAAGCCUGCCAGGUGAGGUGACGCACCGACUCCACCCAGAAAAGGUGAAAUGGACUUCCAGACGCCGAUGCUUCCCUUGCGCAGCCUCUGUCCUAUGGCCAUCUCCAGGUAGAGCAGUGGGAGACCUUCAAACGCCAGCGCUAACAGGUAGGGGAUGAGGAACGCUCCUGAAGAUGUAAACAUUUCACACAAAAUAACCCUAAAUCAGCAUGGGUCAAAUCUGUGCAAAUAUGUGAAGUUGAUAAAGCUGAUAACCCUGCUGAACUUCAGCGUGAUUCAAUGUUUGUUCAGCUUGACCUUCACGGACAGCUAUGAGGAAGUGAAUCGGCUGGGAGGGGAGGGGGAGCUGCACAACUUAACAACACAAACAUGGGACGUAUAAAAAAAACAAAAAGCAAGCAUAUACAGAAUAUCCAACUCACCUCCUCCAUAGAUUUGGCACAAGUACGGAAAACGCCAGACGUUCCCAAUUCCCACCGCAAAGCCGAUGGAGGUCAGCAUGUACUGGAUCUUGUUGUCCCAUUUGACUUCCUCCUCCACGGCUCCUUUAGUUUUGGACAUCUUGAGCUGGCCAGCAGAUGAGGCGCAAUCCCACACUCGUUGCACAAGUGCCUUAAUUGGAACAUAAAAAUGAGCUGCGCUCCUUGAGUGUGGCCGUCUUGAAUGUGUGGGGAUGGUCUCUUUAUCAGUCUUCCCCUCCCCUGGGGGUUGUCCUUCAGUAUCCUAUCACCAGCCUCCACUCAGGGAUCCAAUUUACUGCUUUGGAUGGCAUUUACUUUUUUUUUUUUUUUUCUAUAAUAAUAAAAAAAUCCCUCAGAUAAGUCGUUUUCUUUUUAAACAGCGUUUGGCAAUGGCGCACUUAACAAAAGGCACCAUACAGUUCAAAUACCAAACUUAUGAAGCCACGUUCAAGCUAAAUAAAAAUGCCAAAAUGACACAAGUCACCAGGAAAUGUAUGAUGGUUUAGUGGCUAAAACUUUUCUGCUUGUUUAAGAUACUAGUGUGCUAGCUCAGUCGCUGUUUAAUGGAUAACCAGUGAUGCCGUGUCCACGUUACGCUGACCUCGAUCACGAUGAUGCAAAA